GAUGAAGAACGCAGCGAAAUGCGAUAAGUAGUGUGAAUUGCAGAAUUCAGUGAAUCAUCGAAUCUUUGAACGCACAUUGCGCCCCUUGGUAUUCCAUGGGGCAUGCCUGUUCGAGCGUCAUUUGUACCUUCAAGCUUUGCUUGGUGUUGGGUGUUUGUCCUGAGGGACUCGCCUUAAAGUAAUUGGCAGCCAGUGUUUGGUUUUGAAGCGCAGCACAAGUCGCGAUUCAAGGCUAUUCACCAGCUUCCACAAGCCUUUUUCACUUUUGACCUCGGAUCAGGUAGGGAUACCCGCUGAACUUAAGCAUAUCAAUAAGCGGAGGA
rnacentral:misc_RNA from 1 species